AAUAGCCUGUUCCGUGCGUGGAGAUGAGGAGAGCCCUUGAGCCAACGCCAAUAUGAAGGGAGCCAAGUCUGGGUAGGGCCAGCAUGCCCGCCAUAUCCUGGCGGGAAGCUGAAACUACUCAGGGAGGCACCCACUUUAAAAAUAAGGGUCUCAAAGGGUCUGAUCUCCGCGGCGGAACGGGCUAUUU
rnacentral:other from 2 species